rnacentral:rRNA from 1 species
UACGGGGGGGGGCAAGCGUUGUUCGAAAUUACUGGGCGUAAAGGGCUCGUAGGCGGCCAACUAAGUCAGACGUGAAAUCCCCAGGCUCAACCUGGGAACUGCGUCUGAUACUGGAUGGCUUGAAUUCGGGAGAGGGAUGCAGAAUUCCAGGUGUAGCGGUGAAAUGCGUAGAUAUCUGGAGGAAUACCGGUGGCGAAGGCGGCAUCCUGGACCGACAUUGACGCUGAGGAGCGAAAGCUAGGGGAGCAAACGGG